rnacentral:misc_RNA from 1 species
ACUGCGGUUGGAUCACCUCCUUACCUAGAUAGAUGGAAUGUGAGUGUUCACACAGAUUGUCUGAUGAAGAUUGAGCAGAAGGUAUCAUUAGGCUUGUAGCUCAGGUGGUUAGAGCGCACCCCUGAUAAGGGUGAGGUCGGUGGUUCAAGUCCACUCAGGCCUACCAACAUUGCUGAUGGAUGUGGCUGAAAGGUAAGGUUAGCAGGAAGGUGUAAUGAUACGACAAUCUUAAUGGGGCUAUAGCUCAGCUGGGAGAGCGCCUGCUUUGCACGCAGGAGGUCAGCGGUUCGAUCCCGCUUAGCUCCACCAUAUUGCAAGAUAAAAUAUAGAUAAAAAGUUAUUCAGAGCAGGCUGGCAACAGUAUGCUGCGAAUAAUAAUGCUCUUUAACAAUCUGGAACAAGCUGAAAAAUAAAACACCACAUUAAUGAAAAAAAGUGUGGUGAACUCUCAAAACUCCAAUCAGUUGGGUUUUUGUUGUCAUGAUGAAAGCGUUAUGAGCGAGCAGUCAGCCAUUCGAGACGGCCAGCGCACAGCGAGCACUGCCCAAUAAAGAAUGGGUGGAGAGGUGCCCAUAACCUGGCAAAAAGGCAGCGUAAGACACCUUCGGGUUGUGAGGUUAAGCGAAUUAAGCGUACACGGUGGAUGCCUAGGCAGUCAGAGGCGAUGAAGGACGUGCUAAUCUGCGAAAAGCGUCGGUAAGCUGAUAUGAAGCGUACUAGCCGGCGAUGUCCGAAUGGGGAAACCCAGUGCAUUGAUGCACUAUCGUUUGAUGAAUCCAUAGUCAAAUGAGGCGAACCGGGGGAACUGAAACAUCUCAGUACCCCGAGGAAAAGAAAUCAACCGAGAUUCCCCCAGUAGCGGCGAGCGAACGGGGAGCAGCCCAGAGUCAACAUCAAAAUUUACCGCAGGAGAAGGGUCUGGAAAGGCCCGCAAUAAAGGGUGAUAGCCCCGUAUCUGAAGCGGUAAGUGUUGUGAGCUCGAAGAGUAGGGCGGGACACGUGUUAUCCUGUCUGAAUAUGGGGGGACCAUCCUCCAAA